rnacentral:rRNA from 1 species
UNCCAUAAGAUACUCUUUAUGGUAGUGCCUGCUCUAUGUAAUCUAUAAAUGGCCGCAGUAUCUUGACUGUGCGAAGGUAGCAUAAUUAAUUGCCUUAUAAUUAAAGGCUUGUUUGAAUGGUUUGACGAGGUGAAUACAAACAUUUAAUAUUUUAUUGAAAUUAAUUUUGAGGGCACAGAAUCCUCAAUGUAUUAAUUAGACGGAAAGACCCCGGGAUCUUUUCAUUUUGCCUGGGGCAGGUAUAAAUUUUUCAUUUAUAUUAAGACCCUUAUUAAAGUUUAGUGAGUUAAGUUACCCCGGGGAUAACAGUGUAAUAGUUUAUUAGAGAUCUUAUCGAAUAAAUUGUUUGCUACCUCGAUGUUGACUUAGGUAAAUAUACCAGGCGCAGUAGUCUGGUAUUAGGGUCUGUUCGACCCAUAUUACCUCC